AUAGAAUUAGUAAACAUGAUCCCUGCUCUCAAGAGGCUUUCAGUCUAGUGGGGAGAUGGACCCUAAUAAUUUUUGGCUAGGAAGAGGGAAUAAAGGGUUAUGUUGAUGAGUUAUAUCAUAGCAGGCAGAGAGAGCCAAAGUCUCUCUCUAAAAUAAAGCCGGUUAUCUCAAGUCGACGCAGAAAGUUGCCUGAGGGAGACAAAUUCAACCCCAAAGGGGAAACUCUUCUUGCUUUUGGUCGGUAGGUGGCAAACUUCCACCUGAUUUAAUCUUCCAUCGCUGAAUUUGAAAGCUAAACCUUGUGUUUUUGGAAGAGUUGAGGCCAUUUUGAUAACAAAUUACUAGCACUAAUAAGUAAACUUCUCCUAGGGAGUUCAGCCUAGAAGAAAAUUGACUUUCCAAGGUCAUUAUCCCUUUCAUUUCAGUUGUCCUCGGAUGUCUGUGGGCCUUUCUUCUCCGAUGGCAGAAGUGCUGUUCAUUCUCACAUUGCUCUUCAGGAAAGGUGAAACUGUAAAGAACAGACAUUCAGAUCCCACUCAUCCUUUUAGAUCCUGCUCUUCCCUCCUAAGUGGUUCAGCUUUCCCAUCCAGUCACCCAUGGGAGCUACCUCUGAGCCGAUGAGAGCGCUCGGCAGUGACCCUGACGGAAGCAACGUCAAUGUUCCGUGCAUAUAUCGAGAUGGCACUAUACCCCUCCCGGGAAUUUGAGCAAUGUCCAGUAAUGCAAAACAGAUGGGAAGAAGCAAGAAGCCCAGAAACCUCCUUCACGAUUUUGAUCCUACAGCCUCCUUGGAUCCUAGCCAACCUCCGGAGAUGAGAUAGAGAUGAGGGAUAUGCAUGCAGAAGAAACCAGACAGCCUGCAACCUGAGUGUUAAUGGGAAAUGAAAACUCUUUUCUUGAGAGGUUAUCCUAAACUCCUCUAAGACAGGUGUGGCUCACAUGUAUAAAACUGGGGGUCCUAACUCAGCUGCUUUCUGCUACCAUGUGGUGGCUGAACAGCACUGCCAUCAGCCAGCUGGAGGGCGAUUCUGUUUUGCGUCACCCCCACCUCCUCAGUAAAACCUCUGGAUAUGAAAUAGACUCGGUGUCCGGAUUGCCGUGGGGGCGUCCAAACAAAACCAAGGUGAAUCAUCCACUCCGGGGGAGGCUCCAGGAACCCAAGACGAAGAGGAUUUGUAGCAGAGGGUGAAGAGAGGUCACCUCCAACCAAACUGAGGGGUACUGGAGGGGCCCCCAAAUAUUGCUGCACUGGAUGCCUGAAAGGGAGGCAGCGUCUGGGCCAGCCCAAGAAUGACCCUGACCCACAGCCUGGUGGCAGCCAGCCUGACUCCGGGGGACUUGGUCCCAGAGCCCCCAGUGGGAGAGCUUCUUCCAAAGCAGAGGCUGACCCUCAGCCUGGGAUCACAACAACCUUCAGAGGUCUGGGGGCUAUGUUUUGGCCUGAACACAAGUGGUGGAACCGGGAUUAGAACCCAUGACCUUCUGACUCCCAGGCCUGUGCUCUAUCUACUAUGCCAUGCUGCUUCUCAGAAUACAGUGACCUGACCAGCUUGUGGAUGACCACCUCUUCUCCAGGCCAAGCUGACUGCAUCCACACAAAGGAUAUCGUCAUUUAAAGCCAAUUAGACCGAGCCCAAGCCUUGUAAGUCAGAUGACCUUGACACAGAUGAUCAGAUAAGAACACAAGACCGCUACUUCUGGGUGACACCAGCAUUCUGUCCUUGAUCAUGGCAGCCAAAUGGGCCUUGGCAGCUGGUGGGGAAAGGGUCAGAAGGGUCAUUGGGUAGACCCCCUUACCUCGAGUGCUUGGUCGUCCCAUUUUGGGGUCACCCACCACCCCUGCAUUCACAGAGGACCGGUGGGCCUCCGAAAAGUCCUGGUGAUGUCUGUGGUUGGAGGGAACAGCAGCCAGCAGAAAGAAGUCGAUCAACCCAGCACGCUGAGAAGCUGCAUGGCUUCAUGGAAAGAGCCCGGGCCUGGGAGUCAGAGCCACUCCGAUCUAAUCUAGACUCCCCCUUUUGCCUGCUGUGUGA